rnacentral:rRNA from 1 species
GACGAACGCUGGCGGCGUGCUUAACACAUGCAAGUCGAACGAUGAAGCCUUAGCUUGCUUUGGUGGAUUAGUGGCGAACGGGUGAGUAACACGUGAGCAACGUGCCCAGGACUCUGGAAUAACCGCGGGAAACCGUGGCUAAUACCGGAUAGGUGCCGAGGCCGCAUGGUCUUCGGUUGGAAAGUUUUUGCGGUUCUGGAUCGGCUCACGGCCUAUCAGCUUGUUGGUGGGGUAAUGGCCUACCAAGGCGACGACGGGUAGCCGGCCUGAGAGGGUGACCGGCCACACUGGGACUGAGACACGGCCCAGACUCCUACGGGAGGCAGCAGUGGGGAAUAUUGCACAAUGGGCGCAAGCCUGAUGCAGCAACGCCGCGUGGGGGAUGACGGCCUUCGGGUUGUAAACCUCUUUUAGUAGGGAAGAAGCGCAAGUGACGGUACCUGCAGAAAAAGCACCGGCUAACUACGUGCCAGCAGCCGCGGUAAUACGUAGGGUGCAAGCGUUGUCCGGAUUUAUUGGGCGUAAAGAGCUCGUAGGCGGUUUGUCGCGUCUGCUGUGAAAGCCCGAGGCUCAACCUCGGGUCUGCAGUGGGUACGGGCAUGCUAGAUUGCGGUAGGUGAGAUUGUAAUUCCUGCUGUAUCGGUGUAAUGCUCUAAAUCUCCGACGAAUACUUCAUGGUAAAGCGCAUCUUUGUUCCUUUUUUUGUCGUGCGGUCGAGCUCUUCGGGGGGGUCCAUUCUCCUAUUGCUCUGGUUUCUCUGGCGAAUCCCUUUCGGAGAUCUGCGCUUUAGGUCCGUUUCUUCUAGGGUGUCCCCCGCUACUCCUUCCUUCUCUAUCUAUAGCCGAUAAAAAACGCGGCCCUUUAAUGA